GACGAACCGUGCGAACGUUAUUCGGAAUCACUGGGCUUAAAGCGCGUGUAGGCGGGCCGGCACGUCGACUGCUGAAAUCCCCCGGCUCAACCGGGGAACGGGCAUCGAUACGACCGGCCUGGAGGGGGGUAGGGGGGACGGGGAACUUCCGGUGGAGCGGUGAAAUGCGUUGAGAUCGGAAGGAACGCCCGCGGCGAAAGCGCGUCCCUGGACCCCACCUGACGCUGAGACGCGAAAGCCAGGGGAGCGAACGGG
rnacentral:rRNA from 1 species